rnacentral:sRNA from 1 species
UUUGGUUGCAUAAUCUUACUCUGAUUUCCCCUAGACUUUAGUGAAUCUGAAACUCUCCGAAUCUAAGGACUAACCAAAGUUAUGAUAAUUUAGAAAUUGCAAUUGUUGACUCAAUGGAAGGGCAAGCUUUGAAUGGGAUUUUUUUUGUUCUUAAUGUGCUGUCAGCAGAUGUUUACUUAAAGAGAUUUUUUAAUCUCCUCUAGGAAGAUAAAAAGAUCAGAUGGGCAUCUAGAUGGGACUAUAUUCUGGAGUCUAUGCCUCAUACCCACAUUCAGUGGUUUAGCAUUAUGAAUUCCCUGGUCAUUGUCCUCUUCUUAUCUGGAAUGGUAGCUAUGAUUAUGUUACGGACACUGCACAAAGAUAUUGCCAGAUAUAAUCAGAUGGACUCUACGGUAAGUGGAAACAUUUUAGUCUUUAGUCUGCCAAGGACACUGUUUAUUGUUAUUUUGUGAAAAGGUAAA